UCUCUGAUUGCUCUGUAGCCGGUUUGCUCUGUGUGAGUCGGAUCCCAUCAGAUCUCAGAAGCUAAGUAAAGAGGCAUCUGGUUAGUACUUGGAUGGGAGACCUCUUCAGAAAACCAGCAGCUGUGUGUUUCUGGAGUUGCGUCAGGAGGGGCAUCUGC